rnacentral:rRNA from 1 species
GACGAACGCUGGCGGCGUGCUUAACACAUGCAAGUCGAACGGGAGUAUCGAAGAAGCUUGCUUUUAAGAUACUUUAGUGGCGGACGGGUGAGUAACGCGUGAGGAGCUGUCCUAUGCAGGGGGACAACAGUUGGAAACGACUGCUAAUACCCCAUAAGCCGAGAGGUAAAAGGAUUUAUCCGGCAAAGGAGGUACUCGCGUCCUAUCAGCUAGUAGAUGAGGUAACGGCUCACCUAGGCGAAGACGGGUAGCCGGCCUGAGAGGGCGAACGGCCACACUGGAACUGAGAGACGGUCCAGACUCCUACGGGAGGCAGCAGUGGGGAAUAUUCGGCAAUGGGGGCAACCCUGACCCAGCGACGCCGCGUGGGUGAAGAAAUCCCUCGGGAUGUAAAGCCCUGUUGUAUGGGAAGAGCAGAAGACGGUACCAUACGAGGAAGCCCCGGCAAACUACGUGCCAGCCGCCGCAGUAACAC